CAGCGCAUGUUUUUUUUUCAUUAUAUCGGAUCCGUCAGAGGUAUACAGACAGACGGACACACACACACACAUGUAUAUGCGUAUAUGCAUACCUGCUACACGCAAACCACCGCCAACCCCUAAACGAAAAGGAAAAGGUAUUAGCUACUGAACACACAGACACUUCUGUGCUCUUCACAUUUCGGUAUUUCGGUCUCUCUGCGCCUGUCGCCCCAAACCCCCUGGCUCGCUCCACACUCCCAGCAUUAGCUGUGAAGGCGGCUCCUGUCGUCUCUUUCCUCUAUCCCCCCCCUCCUCACACAGUGUGCUGUGGAACCUCGGAAGUAACGCCCCUUCGACGCGCCCUACUGCACCGCGUUAGCGGUCGCUGCCCUAUCCGCGUGGCGCAUUCGUGCAUCGCGAGGGGCAGCAGCACACGACAGCGGAUACCUCCUGUGUCUUCACUCUUCGAAGCGCAUACACAAUCCGGCGUGGUGCCCGCAAUUUCAUUGCGCCUUUCCAGUGAGACGGCACUCACCCUUUCCGCUUCUGCCGCCAUCAUGCCCACCGUUCCCUCUUCAACUCCGUCGCCCGCCUCCGCACCCAGUGUGGAGGUGCCACCAGGCAAAGUGUGGCUGAACGCCGACGAGCCGAAUGACGAGUACUCGCUGUUCUGCACCGAGGCGAUCCCACCGAAGGUGCCAGGCACAGUUCGCAUUUGGGUGGACGGCUGCUUCGACAUGCUCCACUUUGGGCACGCGAAUGCACUGCGUCAGGCACGUCGACUCGGCGACGAGCUCUUUGUCGGGUGCCACAGUGAUGAGGAGGUAAUGCGCUUCAAGGGGCCGCCGAUCAUGCACGCCGAGGAGCGCUAUGAGGCGCUGCGGGCGUGCAAAUGGGUCGACUACGUGGUCGAGAACUAUCCCUACUGCACACGGCUCAAGGAUGUCGAGCGGUUGGAGAUUGACUACGUCGUUCACGGUGACGAUAUCUCCGUCGACUUGAAUGGCCGCAACUCGUACCAGGAAAUCAUCGAUGCCGGCAAGUUCAAGGUGGUGAAGCGCACCGAGGGCAUCUCCACGACAGACUUGGUGGGACGCAUGCUCCUAUGCACCAAGAACCACAUGCUCAAGUCAGUGGACGAGGUGCAGCUGGAGAGCUCCCUGUUCGAGCACAGCCCCACUAUGCACUGCCUGACUACGUCCCGCAAGAUUGUGCAGUUCAGCAACAACUCGAGCCCCAAGUCAGGCGACCGUAUCGUCUAUGUGGACGGGAGUUUCGAUCUCUUUCAUAUUGGCCACAUCCGCGUUUUGCAGAAGGCGCGCGAGUUGGGCGACUACGUCAUUGCCGGCGUGUAUGAAGAUCAGGUGGUGAAUGAGCACAAAGGCAAGAACUAUCCAAUCAUGAACCUCAACGAGCGUGUGCUCGGCGUCCUGUCGUGCCGUUACGUUGACGAAGUGGUGAUGGGCGUGCCGUUUGACGUCAGCAAGGAUGUGAUUGACGGCCUCCACAUUAACGUGGUCGUAGGCGGCAAGUUCUCGGACCUGGUGGUAGAGGAGGGAGGGAGUACGAGAUACGAGGUGCCCAAGGCGAUGGGCAUCUACCACGAAGUGGACUCGGGCUGCACCCUCUCGACGGACUCCCUUAUCGACCGCGUGGUCGAAAACCGCCUCGCCUUUCUGAAGCGGCAGGCGGAAAAGCAGAUCAAGGACAAGAAGAGUCAGGAGAUAAAGCCGGACGACUACCGCGAUGUGCGGGAGGUGAGCUAGCGUAGUGGGCUGGAGGAAAGACACAGAGGAGCUGCGUGUGUGUGUGUUUGGGGGGGGGGUGGAGAGGCCGCCAAAGGUGCAAACGGCGGGAGCGAGGGGGGAGGAGGAGCGGGAGGAAAGAGGGCUUGAGGGAAAGCGAACGUUGUUGUCGGACUCUCUUGCCACCGAGGGGAACCACUCUUCUCUUUUGGUUUGGUGUGUGCGUGUGCAGGUCGCGGCUGACCUUCCACCUCGGUGCUCUUCUCCUUCUCUCUUGGCGCUUCAGUUUGCCGAAUCCCAUGCAGUGUUGCCUUCAGCGUGGUGUUGCGGCGAGCUCGCCCGUAUUCUCACCGUUGGCGUUCAUUUGCCUCGGCGGUGCCUUGCCUUUCUAUCUCUCUGUGCCUCCUUAGCGGUUGCUGGCCUCGAAUUUUUGUUUUGCGUACCUUACGUUGCUGGCCGCGACGGCGCACAUAGCUGCCGGUGCCGCACAGCACCGAAACAGCAGAUGCCCUCCCACGAAGACACUCUUGUAUUUUUUUUUGCCCAUGUUGCCGUACCAUUUCCCGUUGCAAUGUGAGAAACCAGACCACCACCCUCAAAUUCGCUUAUUACCCUUCAGGACACAUCUCCUAAGU
rnacentral:misc_RNA from 1 species